GACGAACGCUGGCGGCGUGCUUAACACAUGCAAGUGGAGCGACGAACCAGGGCUUGCCCUGGGGCAAAGCCGCGAACGGGUGAGUAACACGUGGGUAACCCACCCCGAUGAUCGGGACAACCCGGGGAAACUCGGGCUAAUACCGAAUGUGCCUUCAGUUCACGAGAACUGAAAGUAAAGAUAGCUUCGGCCUUCGCAUCGGGACGGGCCCGCGGCGGAUUAGCUUGUUGGUGGGGUAACGGCCCACCAAGGCGACGAUCCGUAGCUGGUCUGAGAGGACGAUCAGCCACACUGGGACUGAGACACGGCCCAGACUCCUACGGGAGGCAGCAGUGGGGAAUCUUGCGCAAUGGGCGAAAGCCUGACGCAGCGACGCCGCGUGGGGGAAGAAGGCUUUCGGGUUGUAAACCCCUUUCAGGAGGGACGAAGCCACUCGGGUGAAUAGCCCAGAGGGUGACGGUACCUCCAGAAGAAGCCCCGGCUAACUACGUGCCAGCCGCCGCCGUAA
rnacentral:rRNA from 1 species